GAAGGAAGAAGGGUUUCGGCUCGUAAACUUCUAUCAACAGGGACGAAAAAAAUGACGGUACCUGAAUAAGAAGCCCCGGCUAACUACGUGCCAGCAGCCGCGGUAAUACGUAGGGGGCAAGCGUUAUCCGGAAUUACUGGGUGUAAAGGGAGAGUAGGCGGCAUGGUAAGUUAGAUGUGAAAGCCCGAGGCUUAACCUCGGGAUUGCAUUUAAAACUAUCAAGCUAGAGUACAGGAGAGGUAAGUGGAAUUCCUAGUGUAGCGGUGAAAUGCGUAGAUAUUAGGAAGAACACCAGUGGCGAAGGCGACUUACUGGACUGAAACUGACGCUGAGGCUCGAAAGCGUGGGGAGCGAACAGGAUUAGAUACCCUGGUAGUCCACGCCGUAAACGAUGAGUGCUAGGUGUCGGGGGGGAACCCUCGGUGCCGCAGCUAACGCAAUAAGCACUCCACCUGGGGAGUACGAUCGCAAGAUUGAAACUCAAAAU
rnacentral:rRNA from 1 species